rnacentral:tRNA from 1 species
UAGCCUAAUGGUCAGAGAGUUGAACUUUUAAUCCAAAGGUUUCAGGUUCCAUUCCUGA